rnacentral:rRNA from 1 species
CCUCUUCCACGAGUAUCAAUUGGAGGGCAAGUCUGGUGCCAGCAGCCGCGGUAAUUCCAGCUCCAAUAGCGUAUAUUAAAAUUGUUGCAGUUAAAAAGCUCGUAGUUGAAUUUCUGCUGCAUUUCAUCUUCUUUUUGAUGAGUUGGUGUAUUGUGGCUUAUUUCGGAUGAUACUUGUAUUAUCCGGAUGAUUACUUUGAGAAAAUUAGAGUGCUCAAAGCAGGCUUUUGCCUUGAAUAGUUUAGCAUGGAAUAAUAAAGUAGGACUUUGGUUCUAUUUUGUUGGUUUUAGGUACCAAAGUAAUGGUUAAUAGGAACAGUUGGGGGCAUUCGUAUUUAACUGUCAGAGGUGAAAUUCUUAGAUUUGUUAAAGACGAACUACUGCGAAAGCAUUUGCCAAGGAUGUUUUCAUUAAUCAAGAACGAAAGUUA